GGUAAUCGUUUGGAUCUAAGGGGGCUGACAGCUCUACAUGCAUCAUCAGAAGAAGUUGCUGAGUGGAUUAAUAAAGAUAAUCAUGGGAAAGCAGUUGUUCCUUCUCAUUCUAGUGAUGGUGAAAAUCGCUUGCUUCAAUCUCAUGAAGCCUCCAGUUCUGGUAGUGGUGCUGAUAACCCUACAUCAAGUAGUGGUAAAAAGGCUAAAUACACAUUUAUCUGUGAAUGCUUCUUUAUGACUGCAAGAGUGCUCAACUUGGGUCUCUUAAAAGCAUUUUCGGACUUUAAGCAUCUAGUUCAGGACAUUUCAAGGUGUGAAGACAGUCUCUCGACGCUGAAGGCCAUGCAAGAGCAGUCACCUUCUCCACAACUGCAGCUGGAUAUUGCUCGCCUUGAGAAAGAUUUAGAGUUGUAUUCACAAGAAAAGCUUUGCUAUGAAGCUCAGAUACUAAGGGAUGAAGCACUUAUUCAGCGGGCACUUUCUUUCUACCGGUUAAUCGUGGUUUGGUUGGUUGGUCUGGUUGGUGGAUUUAAAAUGCCUCUGCCACCAACAUGCCCUAUGGAGUUUGCAUCCUUGCCUGAACAUUUUGUGGAUGAUGCCAUGGAAUUGCUUAUAUUUGCUUCCCGG
rnacentral:misc_RNA from 1 species